GAUGAACGCUAGCUACAGGCUUAACACAUGCAAGUCGAGGGGAAACGGCCUUGAGUGCUUGCACUCUUUGGACGUCGACCGGCGCACGGGUGAGUAACGCGUAUCCAACCUUCCCAUUACUGUGGGAUAACCUGCCGAAAGGCAGACUAAUACCGCAUAGUCUUCGAUGACGGCAUCAGAUUUGAAGUAAAGAUUUAUCGGUAAUGGAUGGGGAUGCGUCUGAUUAGCUUGUUGGCGGGGUAACGGCCCACCAAGGCGACGAUCAGUAGGGGUUCUGAGAGGAAGGUCCCCCACAUUGGAACUGAGACACGGUCCAAACUCCUACGGGAGGCAGCAGUGAGGAAUAUUGGUCAAUGGACGUAAGUCUGAACCAGCCAAGUAGCGUGCAGGAUGACGGCCCUAUGGGUUGUAAACUGCUUUUGUAUGGGGAUAAAGUUAGGGACGUGUCCCUAUUUGCAGGUACCAUACGAAUAAGGACCGGCUAAUUCCGUGCCAGCAGCCGCGGUAAUACGGAAGGUCCAGGCGUUAUCCGGAUUUAUUGGGUUUAAAGGGAGCGUAGGCUGGAGAUUAAGUGUGUUGUGAAAUGUAGACGCUCAACGUCUGACUUGCAGCGCAUACUGGUUUCCUUGAGUACGCACAACGUUGGCGGAAUUCGUCGUGUAGCGGUGAAGUGCUUAGAUAUGACGAAGAACUCCGAUUGCUAAGGCAGCUGACGGGAGCGCAACUGACGCUAAGCUCGAAGGUGCGGGUAUCAAACAGG
rnacentral:rRNA from 1 species